ensembl:lncRNA LOC100912209 uncharacterized LOC100912209
GAGAAGUCUUCCAGACCGAGGCUUCAGUGGAGAUGCCUGUGAGGCAAGAGUGCGGCUCGGGGGACACGUCAUCACAGAGAGAGAGAUCGAAAGAUAACCAGUGUCAACAUCUGGCCACGUCUGAGCGGGAACCCCGGCACACACAUUUCUCCAGGCAAGUGCACGUGGAGGGAAAAACAAAAAUCCCGGCACCCGAAAAUAUUCUAAUCAGUGUCCCGACUCAGUCCUGGGUCCGAGGAAAUCAAACCAAAGCAGCAUCUUGUUCAUAGACUAAUGAUUGGGGCACGCUUCCUACCGCAGGCACCGACGCAGCUCACCGGAGAGUGGGCUGAGGAAAGUCAACUGUCAAGCGUUCCUUAGUUUUACUAUCUGUGGGGAAAUACGUGCGACUGAAACAUGACAGACAUGGACUCUACCUCUUGGCUCUAGGACACCGAGUACUGCCUGUACCCAAAGGCCGAUGUACUACUACCCAGCUGGCUACGUGCCCUACUACCCAUGGCCUCCCAGGGCCCAGCUUCCUGCUGCUGCCUUUCUCCUGGCUGCACUUGCCUCACUCCCAGUAGGGCAGGGAGGAGCUCUGGAUCUGUCCCACCCCAGGCCUUUCACCCAUGCACCACAGAACGGAAAGAAAAAAAUCAUCUUUAUUGAGGUGCAAUUCACGGGCAAGAAACACACGGUCACGUGAUUGAGGCUGCUGCACCCGAGGACAUUCUGCCUGUCGUGAGUGUUCCCAUUUCCCAUUUAACCCAAGAGUCCAGUCCUCCCCAGUGUCCUCUGCUAGUCAGAGGCUUGCUGCCGGAACAGAGUCUUGCCACUGGACAGGGCACACAGGAAGGACCCGGGCAUCCUACCAACAGCACCAGGAUUCUGAAGAGUCGCCCAGAGCUCCAGUCACCACAGAGGUCAUGGGAUUGUCCUGCUGCACAUCUGGGUUGCUGCUAGACGUGAGCAGUUCCGAAUAAAAAUGCAAGAGGGUUGUAGGGACAUGUUUUGCUUCUCCCCAGAAGGGACUGUGUGGGGGAGACAGGGAGUUAGCACAGUUGACUUUGCAAAGCAGAUGUACCACUUGCCACCCCGUGUCGUCGCCGGCACUUAGCGCUGUCUGGUUUUAAGCAUUAGCCUCUCUUGAAGGCAUGCCGUGGUCCCCCCACUGAUUGGUGAGGGACGAUCGUGAUAUUAGUCACACUUUCGCAUGCUCAGGGCUCAUCUGUUCAGAUCGUGCACAUUUUACUUUUAUUACACUUGCCCGGCGUGUGCACGUGCUUGCCACCACACGCAUGUGUAGGUCAGCAGACAAUGUACAGGAGUCGGUGCCUCUACUUGGGUCCCAGGAAUCUAGUGCAACUUGACAAGCGUGCUAACGGUUGUCUUUUUUCCCAAUGCUGGCCCAGAUCUUUCGAUCUUAAUUUAAAAACUUAGUCUUUAAGCUACGAGGGUUUUUAGGUAUUCUGAAUACAUACCCUAUAU